rnacentral:tRNA from 1 species
GACCUUGUAGCUCAGUUGGCAGAGCGUGCGCGUACAAAACGUAGGCGGCGUCCAUGCGUGGGUUCGAGUCCCACCGAGGCUA